CGGGAUAGCCUCGGGAAACCGAGGUUAAUACCGGAUACUCCAUAUUUGUCGCAUGCGAAUAUGGGAAAAGCUCCGGCGGCAAAGGAUGGGCCCGCGGCCUGUUAGCUAGUUGGUGGGGUAGUGGCCUACCAAGGCAAUGAUGGGUAGCCGGGUUGAGAGAUCGACCGGCCAGAUUGGGACUGAGACACGGCCCAGACUCCUACGGGAGGCAGCAGCA
rnacentral:rRNA from 1 species